GUUGACCUCGGAUCAGGUAGGAAUACCCGCUGAACUUAAGCAUAUCAAUAAGCGGAGGAAAAGAAACCAACAGGGAUUGCCCUAGUAACGGCGAGUGAAGCGGCAACAGCUCAAAUUUGAAAUCUGGCCCCAGGCCCGAGUUGUAAUUUGUAG
rnacentral:rRNA from 1 species